AUUGAACGCUGGCGGCAUGCUUUACACAUGCAAGUCGAACGGUAACAGGUUAAGCUGACGAGUGGCGAACGGGUGAGUAAUGCAUCGGAACGUGCCCGAUCGUGGGGGAUAACGCAGCGAAAGCUGCGCUAAUACCGCAUACGAUCUGAGGAUGAAAGCGGGGGACCGUAAGGCCUCGCGCGAUCGGAGCGGCCGAUGUCAGAUUAGGUAGUUGGGGGGGUAAAGGCCCACCAAGCCGACGAUCUGUAGCUGGUCUGAGAGGACGACCAGCCACACGGGGACUGAGACACGGCCCAGACGCCUACGGGAGGCAGCAGUGGGGAAUUUUGGACAAUGGGCGAAAGCCUGAUCCAGCAAUGCCGCGUGCAGGAAGAAGGCCUUCGGGUUGUAAACUGCUUUUGUACGGAGCGAAAAGGUCCUUUCUAAUACAAGGGGCUCAUGACGGUACCGUAAGAAUAAGCACCGGCUAACUACGUGCCAGCCGCCGCGGUAAGAC
rnacentral:rRNA from 1 species